CCUACGGGUGGCAGCAGUGGGGAAUAUUGGACAAUGGGCGAAAGCCUGAUCCAGCCAUGCCGCGUGUGUGAAGAAGGCCUUCGGGUUGUAAAGCACUUUCAGUGGGGAAGAAAGCCUUGGGGCUAAUACCCUCGAGGAAGGACAUCACCCACAGAAGAAGCACCGGCUAACUCCGUGCCAGCAGCCGCGGUAAUACGGAGGGUGCGAGCGUUAAUCGGAAUUACUGGGCGUAAAGCGCGCGUAGGCGGUCUGAUAAGCCGGUUGUGAAAGCCCCGGGCUCAACCUGGGAACGGCAUCCGGAACUGUCAGGCUAGAGUGCAGGAGAGGAAGGUAGAAUUCCCGGUGUAGCAGUGAAAUGCGUAGAGAUCGGGAGGAAUACCAGUGGCGAAGGCGGCCUUCUGGACUGACACUGACGCUGAGGUGCGAAAGCGUGGGUAGCAAACAGGAUUAGCUACCCCUGUAGUC
rnacentral:rRNA from 1 species